UUUGCUUAUGGUUCUACAUAGCAUGCACAUCCCAGACUGCAAUUCUUUUGGCUAUUCCUGAAUAAACUCAUUUUUGAAGGUAAAAUAACUGGGGAAUUUGCUUUUUAAGCUGAUAUAUAUGGUAUCAGAAAAGUGGGAUCUGAAGGAGGCGACCCCCAAUAGUUGGCAGCCCCCAGAACUGAGCAAGGUACCCACACUGAGCCCCUGUGCUCAUCGCUUCUGUGAGUUGCCGCCUGCCUCUGUUUGGUGAAUCUUCUCUCGGAUUCUGGGCUCUGCUCUCCUUGUGUUCUGAGCUAUCAGACCGUCUUCAGGAUCAGGAGAGGCUUUGUCCUCUCAGCACUUCGUCCUCCAGGUUGAAGACUCUGACCUUGGGUUUAAGGCAUCGUCCUUGAAACAACAGAGAAAGGAGCCUUGACGCCGUGUCCCUCUGAUCACCUCCCAGUACAGGAGUCCACCAGUCCAUGAAAUUCCAGAAACAACAUCUGACCUCAGAGUGACUACCGGGUCACAAGCUUACCUGAUUGGGAGAAGACGGAUCCUCUUAGUCACAAGUCUCUGGCAGCAGCUACAUUGAUCACACCUGCACCAGGUUUCAGGGGCCUCUGGGAAUUGUUGCAGAGGGGACAUUUGGACACAAGCAUGCACCCAGGAAGAAUGCCAUGUGAAGACUGGAGUUAUACUGCCACAAGCCAAAGACUACCAGAGCUAGAAGAAAGCCGUGGACAGAUCCUUCUCUGGUACCUCAGAGGGAGCAUGACCCUGCCCGUACCUUGACAUUGGACUUCUAGCCACCAGAACUCGAAACUGAGGCUCAGAAAAGUGAAGUAACCUGUCGAAGUCAUGGAACCUAGCAGUUUGGUGCAACGAAGAGGACACUGGCUUCAGAGAAAGACAGACUUUAAAUUCAGCUCUGCUCCCUAGUACCCACGGGGACCUGACCAAGCUCUGUAACCCCCUGGCAUCAGUCUACUUAUCUGUAAAAUAGAGGUGAGAAUCAUUACAAUAAUAAUAAGUGCAUAAUUCUAUGCAUGAAAUUAUAAAACAUAAA
rnacentral:lncRNA from 1 species